rnacentral:rRNA from 1 species
UACAGAGGUCUCAAGCGUUGUUCGGAUUCAUUGGGCGUAAAGGGUGCGUAGGCGGCGCGGUAAGUCGGGUGUGAAAUCUCGGGGCUUAACUCCGAAACUGCAUUCGAUACUGCCGUGCUUGAGGACUGGAGAGGAGACUGGAAUUUACGGUGUAGCGGUGGAAUGCGCAGAUAUCAGGAGGAACACCGAUGGCGAAGGCAGCCCCCUGGGUCGACACUGACGCUCAGGCACGAAAGCGUGGGGAGCAAACAGG